rnacentral:rRNA from 1 species
AAUAUUUGACAAUGGGGGCAACCCUGAUCCAGCCAUUCCCCGUUUGUGAAUAAGGNCUNNGGAUUNUNAAGCACUUUAAGUUGNNNNNAAGGGCUUUAGGUUAAUACCCUGAAGUUUUGACGUUACCCAUAGAAUAAGCACCGGCUAUCUUCGUGCCGUCAGCCGCGGUAAUACAGAGGGUGCAAGCGGUAAUCGGAAUUACUGGGCGUAAAGCGCGAGUAGGUGGUUCAGUAAGAUGGGUGAGAAAUCCCCGGGCUUAACCUGGGAACUGCUUUCAUAACUGAUGAGCUAGAGUACGGUAGAGGGUAGUGGAAUUUCCUGUGUAGCGGUGAAAUGCGUAGAUAUAGGAAGGAACACCAGUGGCGAAGGCGACUACCUGGACUGAUACUGACACUGAGGUGCGAAAGCGUGGGGAGCAAACA